rnacentral:rRNA from 1 species
AUUGAACGCUAGCGGGAUGCCUUACACAUGCAAGUCGAACGGCAGCACGGACUUCGGUCUGGUGGCGAGUGGCGAACGGGUGAGUAAUGUAUCGGAACGUGCCUAGUAGCGGGGGAUAACUACGCGAAAGCGUAGCUAAUACCGCAUACGCCCUACGGGGGAAAGCAGGGGAUCGUAAGACCUUGCACUAUUAGAGCGGCCGAUAUCGGAUUAGCUAGUUGGUGGGGUAACGGCUCACCAAGGCGACGAUCCGUAGCUGGUUUGAGAGGACGACCAGCCACACUGGGACUGAGACACGGCCCAGACUCCUACGGGAGGCAGCAGUGGGGAAUUUUGGACAAUGGGGGAAACCCUGAUCCAGCCAUCCCGCGUGUGCGAUGAAGGCCUUCGGGUUGUAAAGCACUUUUGGCAGGAAAGAAACGUUCCGGGUUAAUACCCCGGGAAACUGACGGUACCUGCAGAAUAAGCACCGGCUAACUACGUGCCAGCCGCCGCAGUAA